AGAGUUUGAUCCUGGCUCAGAUUGAACGCUCGCGGCAUGCUUUACACAUGCAAGUCGAACGGCAGCGCGGGCUUCGGCCUGGCGGCGAGUGGCGAACGGGUGAGUAAUAUAUCGGAACGUACCCAGAAGUGGGGGAUAACGUAGCGAAAGUUACGCUAAUACCGCAUACGAUCUACGGAUGAAAGUGGGGGACCGCAAGGCCUCAUGCUUUUGGAGCGGCCGAUAUCUGAUUAGCUAGUUGGUAGGGUAAUGGCCUACCAAGGCGACGAUCAGUAGCUGGUCUGAGAGGACGACCAGCCACACUGGAACUGAGACACGGUCCAGACUCCUACGGGAGGCAGCAGUGGGGAAUUUUGGACAAUGGGGGCAACCCUGAUCCAGCAAUGCCGCGUGAGUGAAGAAGGCCUUCGGGUUGUAAAGCUCUUUUGUCAGGGAAGAAACGGCUGAGGCUAAUAUCCUCGGCUAAUGACGUACC
rnacentral:rRNA from 1 species